GUCCACGCCGUAAACGAUGGGCACUAGGUGCCGGGGGGAGCGACCCCGUCGGUGCCGUAGCUAACGCGAUAAGUGCCCCGCCUGGGGAGUACGGCCGCAAGGCUGAAACUCAAAGGAAUUGACGGGGGCCCGCACAAGCGGUGGAGCAUGUGGUUUAAUUCGAAGCAACGCGAAGAACCUUACCUGGGUUUGACAUGCUGGUGAAAGCCUUGUGAAAGCAGGGCCCUCCUUCGGGACACCAGCACAGGUGCUGCAUGGCUGUCGU
rnacentral:rRNA from 1 species